rnacentral:lncRNA from 10 species
GCUUGUUUGCACUUUGGAACACCUCGUGCUUCCAGAGCCGGCCCAUCCUGCUGGGGAGGGGAGAGGUCCCAGCGCUGCUGUCUGGCAGACCUUGGUUUCGGUGGGCACCAGAAGCGAGGCAGAUUGCUUGCUGCUGCAACUUCACGCGUGAGCUCCAGGCUCCCCUGGUUGGAAGGUGCCAGGGAGUGAGGCGGUUUUAAGAUUCCUUCAACAUCAGGAUUCCCGAUCAUCUCAUCAACCGACUUGUUAAGAAAACUGAGGCCCAGGGAAGUGGCUCACAAUUGUGUAGAAUUGUGAGGUGUCUUGACUGCUGGGCCAGGACUGAAGGACGUACGCCCUCUCCCGGAAUCGUCUCAGCUACAGAGAACCACCUUGCCCAAGGUCACCACCCUCUUGCCAAGGGGGUCACUUGGAUCUAAUGAUUGGUUAAUGCUGGGGGGAGGGGGUGUGCACAGGGUGUGGCUUCCAAGGGGAAUGUGGAUGCUGGAAUGAGGGAGGCAGCCACCUAGGCCGGUCAAGUCAGAGGCCCAGCAAGGAGAAAGCGAGCCAAGGCAAACGCCGACAGAAGAGAACGAUAAAUCCGCGGCGCACUCGGCAGAACGUACACCGCACCGCAUAAUUUAGCGGGGCAAUGCCGCCGGGAGUCCACGCCAAGUUAAUGGAAUAUUUCCUGUAAAUAUUAUUUUCCCUUCCUGUCUCAUCAUCUCAUUUCAUUCAAAAAUCUUUACUAAUCCGGGGGAGUGAAAGUAAUGCAUCAAUUUCCAGAGCCAAUGCCCCUGCUUCCGAAAUACCCUUAGGAAUCACUGGAAGCCACCGCGGCUGCUUAGGGACAGGGGGGCAGGCCGUUUACUCUGGUUCCUUCUCCUAAUGCCUCAGAGGGGACCCCAUAGUGCUCCUAAUUGUGCAUCUAAGUGUACAUAAAAGCCCCCCUAAUUGCACAUCAAAUAAAUAAGUAAAUGCUGUCUGCUGAAUAUGUAACAAGGACUGAUGUUGCUAUUUCUUCCCAGGGGGGAGAUUUCAUUAAAUCUGGGCUGCAUUUCUAAGUGAUGAUUUACAGAUAUUGAAUAUUCUUUACAAGGGAGGCUUUUUUGGAGUUAUGUGCUUCACAAUAUUUGCUCUAAUGCUUAAAGCCUCAGAUACAGCCUGCUGGAGGUCUCUUUAUUCUAACUCUUAGUGUCCUUUUGGAAAGUCUUUUCUGCUUUAAUGUGUAAUGGCUUCCGAUGAUCAGAUGGCUGGUUUGUCUGCAGGUCUGGGGACUGUGCAACCCCCUGGUCUCCCAAUGCCUCAGUUACUGACGCUGCAAACAAGGCAGAUUGUCCCAGAGAUUAGAGCUCUCAGGCUUUCUCGGGCUUCAAUCAAUCAAAGGAACGUAAGGACCCCUCCCCUACAGAGAGAGCCGGACGUGAGCCAGAUUUUGUCCAGACUUACUUAUAUCUGCCCUGUGGGAUCCCGAUUCUGCAAGAUUUAAUAAACAAUGCCUCAACAGAUAGCAUUUAAUUUUCAUUCAAACGUUUCCAGGGAAGAAAGAGGUAAAACUCUUGCUUGUACCAGCACAACUGCCCGAAACCCGUGGGAUACCCAGUCUGAGGCAUGUUGCUAUCGACAGUCAUUUCACACAGCUGGCAGUUUUUUCUUUUCUGAUGGCCUAGCUCUCUUUACUCCACCGUAAAUGCAAACUAAGACGAAACUUGGGAUUUACCUCCGGUGCCUAAAUGCCAACCUGACACUGUCUCAUUGUCUCCUGAGCCCAGUAGGACGGUAAUUUGUGAAAUACGGAGCCUCUCACCUCAGCAGCGCUUCUUUCUAUUCCCACACAUAUGCACAUGCUAAAAUGGAAUGUGGUAACUAGCAUAAAAUAGGGUACAACAAUUGCUGCAAGAUUUGUUUUUUUGGCUGGGCACAGUGGCUCACGUCUGUAAUCCCAUCACUUUGGGAGGCUGAGGUGGGUGGAUCUUUUGAGGUCAGGAGUCUGAGACCAGCCUGACUAACAUGGUGAAACCCAGUCUCUACUAAAAAUACAAAAAAAAAAAAAAAAAAAUUAGCCAGGCAUGGUGACACACGCCUAUAGUCCCAGCUACUCUGGAGGCUGAACCAGCAGAAUUGCUUGAACCCAGGAGGCAGAGGUUGCAGUGAGCCAAUAUCGUGCCACUGCACUCCAGCCUGGGAGACAGAGCGAGACUCCCUCUCAAAAAAAAAAAAAGAUUUUUUUUUUCUAUUGUGACUUUUCUACUUCUGUCAUCACUGCUGAGCCAAGACAGACAUGUAAGAUCCCGUCAGCACCGUACUUGGAUGCUGCAUUCACAAUUGUGAAUUCCAACCGUAGCCAUGACAAAGGAGAGAGGAGAGCUACAAAGCACUCAAAGGGAUGUCCCC